rnacentral:lncRNA from 1 species
UCUUAGCUUUAACAGUGGAAGAAACCCCAGACAGCUCUUGUUCAUCCAUCCCUGCCUCCUUCAAAACCACUCCCGAAGUGGCUGCGGUGGCCGUGGCGGGCGCGGGGUCUCGGCAGGCAGGCGGGCGGGUGGGCAGAUGCGGCCAAAGGUAGCGGGGAACUUUGCAGGUGGCGGUGGAGGGGAAGGCCCCCUUCCCUGCCAGCCUCUCCUAUAUUUCUCAAAGGUACUGAGCAUGCACAGUUUCUGUUCGCUUCAAAAAUCAGGCCAUGAAAGAAUCAUAAAUAUAUAAUAUUAUACUCCUAUGAUAUUAUGAGUGGAGAGCAGGAGAGUUAAAUGCAUACAUUGAGGAGAGGCAAAUUACAUAGAAAGGGCCUUACUGCGCGAUUGUCGAGCGAUUCUAAAAUGAAAUAUUUUAAAAUCCUUCCCAGAAUAAAUUUAAUUCCUGCAUGCUUGUUCCAGUAGGCAAGGAAGUCUGCUGGAUAUCUAGCAACAAUUCGCAGACUUAGGGCAGCCUUUAGUGCUCAUAGUGACUUUAGCACUGAUAAAACAGUUUUUUUUUUAAAUGCUGAGCUGAAAAAUAAAAAAUCCAUUCUAUAAAAGAGCAUUGACAUUUUGGCAUUUGUUUUAUGACAGAAUGAAAUAAAGGGCAUUGCAACAUUUUCUGGAGGAAAUACAGGAAUGUAUCUCACACCAGCCCAGCAGACCAAAGCAGAGGCCAAACUUGAACCCAGGCCUCCAUGUGUGAGCUCAGUGAUCUUCUUUCAACUGUGCUGAGAUGUACCCUCCAACUCGUCUUAAAACGUGGAACUGCUGUACAUUGCCUGUGGGAAAAAAGCCUGAAGCCACAUAGUGAUGUAUCUCUUCAACAGUGUGAAAGAGAAAUUCCCUAUUCAGAGUCUUGCACAGUCAACAUUACCUGCUGGUAAACUCUAAAUUGCCUCAGUUGCUUAACACCAUGAUUAAAAGGCAUUUGUUUUUUUCUUGUGAUAUGCUGUGUUCAACAGAAGAGACAAAAAAAUCACAUUUGCUCACAUACCGAAAAAACAAUUGUACAUUGUCCAAUUACAGGCUUUUCUUAUUUUUAAAACUAUAGUAUAAUAACACUAUAGAUACCAUAGGUCCUUUUAACUUGCCCAUCACAAGCAAAAUGAAAGGUAUAAGUCUGGAAUACUAAAGAGUAAUUAUGUGAAGUGUGAAAUUGAGUAGGUAUAUCCAGCAGCGACAGAAAAAUGACAGCACAAAACCUCAGAGAAGUCAGCAUUGUUUCCUCUCAGAGAUGCCAAAAAUGGGUUUGGAAUUACAU